rnacentral:rRNA from 1 species
UACAGAGAGUGCAAACGUUGUUCGGAAUUACUGGGCUUGAAGCGCACGUAGGCGGCGUUGUAAGUGUCGGGUGAAAUCCCACGGCUCACCCGUGGAACUGCCCGGCAUACUGCGAUGCUAGAGUGUGGUAGGGGAGAGCGGAACUCCUGGUGGAGCGGUGAAAUGCGUAGAUAUCAGGAGGAACACCAGUGGCGAAGGCGGCAUCCUGGACCGAGAUUGACGCUGAGGCGCGAAAGCCAGGGGAGCAAACGGG